rnacentral:rRNA from 1 species
CCUACGGGCGGCUGCAGUGAGGAAUAUUGGUCAAUGGGCGCGAGCCUGAACCAGCCAAGUAGCGUGAAGGAUGACUGCCCUACGGGGUGUAAACUUCUUUUAUAAAGGCAUAAAGUGAGGCACGUGUGCCUUUUUGUAUGUACUUUAUGAAUAAGGGUCGGCGAACUCCGUGCCAGCAGCCGCGGUAAUAAGGAGGAUCCGAGCGUCAUCCGGAUUUAUUGGGUUUAAAGGGAGCGUAGAUGGUUUGUUAAGUCAGUUGUGAAAGUUUUCUGCUCAACCGUAAAAUUGCAAUUGAUACUGGCAGUCGUGAGUACAGUUGAGGUAGGCGGAAUUCGUGGUGUAGCGGUGAAAUGCUUAGAUAUCACGAAGAACUCCGAUUGCGAAGGCAGCUUACUAAACUGCCACUGACAUUGAUGCUCGAAAGUGUGGGUAUCAAACAGGAUUAGAUACCCCUGUAGUC